rnacentral:rRNA from 1 species
GUAGGUGGCAAGCGUUGUCCGGAAUUAUUGGGCGUAAAGCGCGCGCAGGCGGUCCUUUAAGUCUGAUGUGAAAGCCCACGGCUCAACCGUGGAGGGUCAUUGGAAACUGGGGGACUUGAGUACAGAAGAGGAAAGCGGAAUUCCAAGUGUAGCGGUGAAAUGCGUAGAGAUUUGGAGGAACACCAGUGGCGAAGGCGGCUUUCUGGUCUGUAACUGACGCUGAGGCGCGAAAGCGUGGGGAACAAACAGGAUUAGAUACCCUGGUAGUCCACGCCGUAAACGAUGAGUGCUAAGUGUUAGGGGGUUUCCCGCCCCCCUUAGUGCUGCAGCUAACGCAUUAAGCACUCCGCCUGGGGGAGUACGGCCGCAAGGCUG